AUCCUUCAGCGGGUCUUUGCCUUCUGAAUUGUAAAGUAGGCCUUCACUAUUUGCAUCCUCCAGAUGGAGCAGCGUAUAAACACUCCCAGAUAUUUCUAGUAAGUAUGAAAAAAAACCAUCUCAUUUGUCCUUUCUGUGAAUAAAUAAGAGAGUGUCAAAUUUUAUAGACUAAUAAAUUUGUAUUCUGGGAGUGACAUUGAAUCUCUCAUGGCCUGCAAUGUCAGAGACCCUGAGAGAGACGAUCUUUUUUUGUUUUGUUUUCAAAUGUAUACUAAGUCAAGUAGAGGUUCAAUAAAAAGCCAGGGAAUUUGAUUGUGUUGUUUGUCCGCCCAGUAGACUAAUUCAGUUGCAAUUUGCCAUGAGGAAAUACAAUUUACAUUUUUCCCAGGGUUGCAUAAGCAAUCACAAAGAUGGUCACGAAAGAAGAAUGGAAGGAAUGGUUAAGAAGCACUUUAAAGCCAUAUUUUAUAUGUACUUAAAAGAAAAUAACACUUUCGAACCGAAAAUGAUUUUUGCGCUUCUGGCCUUCUAUAUAACGCAGUAUGUCAUAUAAGCCAGAGUUGUCAGGGAAAAUCCACCAGAAAGGUUAUCUGUGUACAUGCCAUUGAAAUGAAUGGGUUUUCCCCCAGUUUUCUUCAUUUCAGUUGGGUUUCAGAGGAAAAGUUCCCUAGUGGUUUUUUGUGUGUUUGUUUGCUUGGCAUUCUCAACAUUGUACUGCCUGGUGUUGUUGAAUGGGUCUUUUUCAACACCUUUUUUUAAUACCAAAAGAACAUGCAGCAAAUACAUUCUCAUUUUCAUUUCAAUAUUAAAUCCCCCAAAAUAUUAUAGCCCCACGGUCCUUUUGCAUUUGAUUGCAAUCUCUUCUCCAUCUCCUACUUAACAGAGUAACAGUUAAGAUGGAUUUUAGAAAAAUAAAAAAUAAAAUCCUGAAUGUGUUUUUAAUAAAUUCCUAAGAAGCAACUUUUCUGAGGAGCUACUCCAAGAUAUAGUGUAUUUUUGGUAGAUCUCUGUGAAAUUCUUGUUUGGAAAGAGUCUAUUCAUUUCCAUUAACCAAAUUUUUGGGUAACUGCAUCACAUAGCAAAUUUCAGCUAUGUUGAACUGACUGCGGAGCCUUGAUUAUAUAUAUAACUGUUACUUAGAAGUAACCUCUAAGGUGGCUACCUGAUUGGUUGGGUCAUGAAAGUCCAGUUCCUAGGAUGGAAUUCUGUACCUGAGAAAAAUGACUAGAGAAUCCACAAUUCCACUAUACAGUCUUUCAUGCACAGUAUAUUUUUGUAGAGUAUAUAUCCAUGAGUUGCUACAGGAGCACCAUUUCAGCAUUUUUUUUUUGCAAGGGCAAGGGAUGUCUUUGAUGUAUAUGCACCAAAAGAAGCAUAUUCUAAGAACAUUUUUUAGUCCCUCCUAACCAGAGAUUUAGAUUUUUAUGUAGAAUAAUCUCACUUCAGUAGCACAGAGUGAGUAAGUUGAAAACCACCCGCCAGCUAAUUUCACCAUUGAAUCUCUAUCCAUUGCCCCCAGGUGACUUCAGGAAGUGCUUCUACCUCUGUCAUUAUUCACUGACCACAAAACAUUCUACAGAGGACAUCAAUAAAUUAUAUCUAAUAUUUAUUUUCUUUGCAUAGUAAUUAGAGAGGAAUGAGGCAAACUCAUAGUAUCCAGCAUUGAAUUGAUUUGUGGAAAUGUAUUUUGAUGAGUGAAGUUCUAAGCUUACCAAAGUGAAAUAUUUGAGAAAGAAAUAUUUGAAAUCAAUAUUAUGAAAUCUUCUGAAAUUGUUAUAUAGCAACAAAGAGACUCAAUAAAACAAAUUAAAAUGUAAAGUAUAAGCAACUGUGUUGUAUCUCUAUUAGCAGUGGUUGCUUUGUCAUCCAAGACAGAUAGUAGACAUUUCUCUGAUAAUAUCUCAGAUUGUGAUACCGCCAUAGAAUCAUAGAGUUGAAAGGGACCACUAGGAUCAGGUAGUCCAACUCCCUGCAAUGCUUGAACCCACAACCUUGAGAUUAAAAGUCUCAUGCUCAACUAAUUGAGCUACCCCAGCUUGGAUUUUGUUCGCUUGUAAAGGUCAGAGAUUCUUAAGAAACAUCAUCCCCCACACAUACGGCAAUUUUUAGCAAAAGUGCUAAUGAAAAUUUAGUUUUGCAUUUUUCCUGAUAUACACACUUCAUAUGGACUUUCAUUUAAGAGAGACAUUUUUGCAAGCAGUGUUCUUCUGCAUGCUUCUUUUAAAAAAAUAAAAGCAUUUUUGUUUGCGGGGGGGAGAAGAGGAACUGCAUCGCAAAAUUCAGAAGAGCAGGGCUCCAUUUUGGCCCAUUGCACUGCUCCUCCCCCGUUUGCAUGCAAGAUGGAUUGUACCAUAUAUUAUAUCCAAAACUUAGUGCCCUUGAUUCAACAAGUUCAAAAUGGGCAUAACUGUUAAAAUCAUAAUUUUGCCCUAAGUUUAAUAGAGCCGCUCCUUCUGCCCGCAGCAUAUCAACCCACACAGUGGUGAGUGCCUGCAAGGUAGUGCAUACAUGUAUGCUUUCUCUUGGUCAUAUGUACGCCAUGCACAAAUUCUUGUCUGAGAAGUUUUGCUUGAGUAUCAUAAAGUUACACAAAGUUUGUGCUUUAUAGUGCAAUCCAUCCCUGUGCUUCAGUGUAUGAGGAAGGAUGUCAGGGUAAUCCAUGAUUCACCAUGAUGUAAAGAGCUGCACCGAGCUUCGGCCUUGCAUGCUCUCCUCUUCUCCUCAAGCAUGACUGUGGAGAGGAGAUAUAGAAGCUUUCGCUUCCAUUUAAAUGAAUCAUAGCUUUCCAUGUCACCCAAGUCUGGCAAACUGCAGUUAACUUUUACUACUGCUGGUUCCAAACAAGCCAACUUAGUGACUGAAACUGGCUUGCUUCCAUGAACAGUUGUUAAGAUUAACCACAGUUACAGGUCUAGGUGACACACUGAGUUGAGUGAAAUAAGUAUUUGAUCCCUUUGCAAACGAUGACUUAGUACUUGGUGGCAAAACCCUUGUUGGCAAUUACAGAGGUCAGCCGUUUCUUGUAGGUGGCCACCAGGUUUGCACACAUCUCAGGAGGUAUUUUGUCCCACUCCUCUUUGCAGAUCCUCUCCAAGUCAGUAAGAUUCUGAGGCUGAUGUGUAGCUACUUGAACCUUCAGCUCCCUCCACAGAUUUUCAAUGGGAUUAAGGUCUGGAGACUGGCUAAGCCACUCCAGGACCUUAAUGUGCUUCUUCUUGAGCCACUCCUUUGUUGCCUUGGCCGUGUGUUUUGUGUCAUUGUCAUGCUGGAAUACCCAUCCUCGACCCAUUUUCAAUGCCCUGGCUGAGGGAAGGAGGUGCUCACCCAAGAUUUGACGAUACUUGGUCCCGUCCAUCGUCCCUUCAAUGCGGUGAAGGUGUCCUGUCCCCUUAGGAGAAAAGCACCCCCAAAGCAUAAUAUGUCCUCCUCCAUGUUUGACGGUGGGGGUGGUGUUCUUGGGGUCGUAGGCAGCAUUCCUCCUCCUCCAAACAUGGCGAGUUGAGUUGAUGCCAAAGAGCUCGAUUUUGGUCUCAUCUGACCACAACACUUUCACCCAGUUCUCCUCUGGGUCAUUCAGAUGUGCAUUGGCAAACUGCAGACAGCUUGAGCAAGGGGACCUUGCAGGCUCUGCAAGAUCUCUGUCCUUCACGGCGUAGUGUGUUACCAACUGUUUUCAUGGUGACUAUGGUCCCAACUGACAAGUUCCCCCCAUGUAGUUCUGGGCUUCUUCAUCACAGUACUCCUGAUCAUUGCAACUCCACAAGAUGAGAUCUUGCAUGGAGCCCCAGACCGAGGGAGGUUGGCAGUUAUUUUGUGUUUCUUUCAUUUGCGAAUUAUUGCAUCAACUGUUGUCACCUUCUCACCAAGCUGCUUGGCAAUAGUCUUGUAGCCCAGUCCAGCCUUGUGCAGGUCUACAAUGUUGUCCCUGACAUCCUUGGACAGCUGUUUGGUCUUGGUCAUGGUGGCUACUUUGGAAUCUGCUGGAUUGAUUGCUUCUGUCGACAGGUGUCUUUUGUACAGGUACUGUAACAAGCUGGGAUUAUAGGUGAGACCUCUCCCUUACAGCAGGUGCUUCUAAUCUCAGCUCCUUACAUACAGUGAAGAUACCAGGUAGCCUGACAUCUGGCUGGUUGAUAGGGGAUCAAAUACUUAUUUCACUCAUUAUAAUGCACAUCAAUCUCUGGCUUUUGUCUUCUGCGUUUCUGGGGGUUUUCCUGUUGUUAUUCUGUCUCUCACAGCUACAGUAGUUUACUGUAUCUGUGAGAGACAGAGUAACAACAGGAAAAGCUGCUUAGAUACAUAAAGGAGGCCACAUCAGUGUACGGCAAGUCACAUACUGGAACUCCGAUUUCAAAUUGAUUGACCAGUCUUGAAUCUGACUAAGAAUUAGAAACAACCACCUUGCCAUCGUUUUGUUAGUCUGUUAUUCUUAACAGAUCCUACUAAGUUCAUUAAUAUAGGUACAACUCAGGUAAUCAUCUGCUUAAAUCAUUAUCAUUGAAAUCAUUGAAACCACUUAACUUUAGCUCAGUUUCUAAAUUAUUAGUUAUUAGUGAGCAAGCUAGAGGGUUAUGCUGGAAGAGCUGUGCGUGCUUUGGGGGUCGUGGAGCAGGUUUUGUUUCCUCCUGAGAGGAAAACAACAUGUCCCAAAUGCUUCCUUGAUCCAUGUUCACAGCCCCUUUUCAAGGCAGUUCCUUCACCUCGUUUUUCAUUCCAGAACACUUAUAGUCGCUUACUUGAAAUUCCUUCUAAAAUUACUGUUGUGGAGAUUUUGACUUGGCCCUUUAUACCAAAUGAAAUCAAGAUGG